GACGAACGCUGGCGGCGUGCUUAACACAUGCAAGUCGAACGGAAAGGCCCUGCUUUUGUGGGGUGCUCGAGUGGCGAACGGGUGAGUAACACGUGAGUAACCUGCCCUUGACUUUGGGAUAACUUCAGGAAACUGGGGCUAAUACCGGAUAGGAGCUCCUGCUGCAUGGUGGUUGUUGGAAAGUUUCGGCGGUUGGGGAUGGACUCGCGGCUUAUCAGGUUGUUGGUGGGGUAGUGGCUUACCAAGGCUUUGACGGGUAGCCGGCCUGAGAGGGUGACAGGCAACAUUGGGACUGAGGUACGGCCCAGACUCCAACGGGAGGCAGCAGUGGGGAAUAUUGCACGAGGGGCGGAACCCUGAUGCAGAAACGCCGCGGCCGGAAAGACGGCCUUCGGGUCGUAAACCGCUUUCGACUGUGACGAAGCGUGAGUGACGGUAAUGGGUAAAGAAGCACCGGCUAACUACGUG
rnacentral:rRNA from 1 species